rnacentral:sRNA from 1 species
UGCCUCUUUCUUUUAUUCCUUUCUUUUUCUUUCUUUUUUCCUCUCUUUCUCCUUCCUUUCUUUCUUUUGUGAAACAGCCCAAAGGUUCUUUGUGAAUCUCACAUGCACCCCAACCCCACUCAUCUCCCCCUCCCUUCAUACCCGCUCUCUACCCUUGCAGCAUGCCCCACAACAGAGGAAAAAUCUAGAGGUGGAAGCUGCAGUGUGUCACAGCACGUCCCACAGAAUUCCCUUUUGUCCACACUUUUUUGCUUGCAAAGGUUCACUGCAAUGAUUCAUUGGUCUGGUGUGAGGCCUCUGGCUUCUGCGACUCUGUCGGUACUGGAUCCUCACUGGGACUCAGAUAUCCUAUUUUUCAUCUGUAGGGACAGCGUCUUCAUACACUCCAGCAGCUCAUCCAUCGAUGGGAUAACUCUAGUGUGUGUCAAGUUGACACAAGACUGGCCAGCACAACUGAACCCUCGUCAACUUGACACAUGAACACAGAUCACUGUUCAGUCUUCCGGGUUUGCGCUUCUACAGAAAUCAAAAUUAUAUUAAAUACCUUCCUCAAGAGAGAAGGAUCAGGCCACAGUCACAGCAUGAACAAAGCAAAACCAAACUCCAACAGUGUAAAGAACUCCAUGUCCAGUCACCUGGGAUUCACUCACAAUCUUCUGGGCUCCUCCAAGGAACUCAGUCACUUCUCUGGCUUUCCCCUCUGCAGCACACACAGCUUGUCUUCUAGGCUCCUGCGGGUUCUACUUCACUGCUGUUGGUGGUCAGAUCAUGGCACCAACAUCUCCAAAACCCUGGGGUCUUCUACUGCAGCUGCGCUGCAGUUUCGCCAAUAGCCUCUCAUUCAUUCUCUUCCUGGUGCCAAGCCUCAACUUCUUUGCAUGACCCCUUCAGUCCCGGGCCUUCAACUGCCACGAAGGCUACACCUUCACUAAUGGCCUUUCCUGGACUCUCACAGUUCCAAACCUCAGCUGCUGUCCAUGACCCCUUUUAUGCCUCAAAACCAGCACAAGGUACAACCUCAGCUGCUUCUAGAACACGGCUUCGGUGUGCUGACCCUGAGGAAACACUUCCCAGAAGAUUUCACCUCAGUGGUGCUGGCCUCUUCUCAAUCACCUCUGAUUUCUUAGGUCCAGCUGACCAGCAUCAAUUGUCCCAGUAAUGAAAAUGUUUCACUUCAGCGUUGCUGGUCUCUUGUUAAUUACAGCUGACUCUUCAGCUCCAGCUGAGCAAAUCGAAAGACUCUCAAUUCAAAAUAGCAAACGUCUCUCUGAUAAAAGCCUUUACACAA